GGCAAUAUGUGGCGGAUCUGUCCUGGAACAGCUCGCCUUAGGGUAGUCAGCACGGCACCUUGCAUUGGGGGCCUGAGAAAGGGCGCACACUCUGACCUACCAACUCUACUUUGGGGGUCGCCCUAAAGGAAGAAUCCUAAACACAGAAAAAUCAUUUUGCACAAAGAUGUCAUCACAAGAAAUCUCAGCGGUUGUAAAGCAUGGCAGAUAGAACCAAAUCACCAACCGCGGAAGGUCGGUAACAAAUGUCGGUGUGCUGCUGCCCGAUGAGGUGCUCGGCCACCACCCGUGGCGGCGUCUUGUGCAGUUUGUAAGAGCCUGGAGAAUGUUCACACUCUAGUGUUAAGUGGAGAGAACGGGACAGAAGUUUACAAACAGCUCAGGAGAAAAACGAGAAGAAAGAAGCUGCACCAAUGGGUGUCACUGAGCGGCGGAAGGAUGCCACGCCAUUUUUCUUGGAGCCCAUUUCCUAGCCACCGAAAUGCUUCUGCAGUGAGCAAUCACUUUGUCGUUGAAAAAUACUGUAUUUUUUAAAAAAUUAAAUGCAGUGGUUUUGCUGUUGCCAAAGAGAAAGAAGGAGGAGCGUUCCCCCAUCCCCCCCAGUCGGUGGGUCAUGCGUCAAUCGCAGAGCUGUAUUUGACCUUGGAGGGGCUCCACCCCGGCCACACCCGCCCCACGACCUGCUUCCUCCUACCUUCCCUGAAGUCAAACACAGGAGUGGGGUUGGUGCGAGCUGCCUGUUAUCUCUUAGAUUCCAGCAACCCCACGACUGAGGCCGCCCGUUCCCACCCAGUGAGUCCUCGUCCCACCCAGACGCCCAUUCGGGACAUGCCGGUGAGAUGCAGCCUUGCCCCUGAAGGGAGCAGGAUGCCCCUGGGUCCAGCAAUGGAGUGACAGAUGGAGAAGUGGAGACCUAAUUCCUCACUUCCAAGCCAUCCCUGCCGACCCCCUGACUCUGCCAACCUACGGUUACCUAAGUCUCCAACACUCAGCAGGACGCCCCCUCGGCUGAACGAAGAAGCCCUGGUCCUCCCAGCAGGCAUGAGGAGGCUCCACCUGGCCUGGACCGAUGGUGAGCCGUCCUGCUGAGGAAAGGACAAGAUUCCAUACCCGUGUAAAUUACCCAGAAGUCGCGCUUCCUGGGAGUGAGAACGCGCCCGGAAGUGGUUGAACCGCACCCUCAGCCCUGCCGCCCCUCCCCCGGGGCAUGACUGCACCCCACCCCAACUCACACAGGACCCCCUGGGGAGCUCCUGCCGGGGCCUUCAGGAAGCCAGGGCCGCAGAUGCGUUCUCACGAUUCCCAGCCGCAGGCCGACGCUCGCCGUGGGGCCCUGAUGCCUGCCUGCGGUCUCGCCCACUUCCUGUGGCUGGCUGUGACUCGGGUGGGCACCCCCAGGGCUUUCAGGCAGUGAGUGUGACGUGUUACUACUGGGCCGGGAAGCAUUCGUGUAUACGAAGUCUGACGCUCUGACUCGGGCACCUCCUGCCCAGCGACCCUGCCUGCAGGUGACCGCCUUGGUGGGGACGGGUGACAGAGAGAAGAGCGCACCGCGCAGGUGCCGGCGCCACGUCCGUUCACCAGCUCUCCCUGGGCACAGAGGGGUCUGCGAGGGCCCCCCCCACCCCCGGGCUGGUGGCGAGGGCGGCAGCAAACCCAGCUCUCCCUGCAGGCCCCCUGCAGCCCCCACCUCUCCCGGAAAGGAGGGAGGGCGGGGCUUCUAGUUGGCACCCAAGCUGAAGAGGAAAGAACAGAGGGGGAAAGUCAAAAAUCACUUUUAGAGAAAAUGUGUCUUCAGAGUCCCUCUCCCCGGCUCUGAACCUGUGACACCGAUUCCUAGUGGAUGGAUUGUCAGGGCCAUGGCUACUGUUUUCUUUUCAUCUUUAAAGAAAACUCCUCCAUUUUGCGGUUUCUCACCCCCUAGGGAUGUCACUCGGACCACUUUGCUGUGAAUGAGACUUGGAGUCGUAUUUUAUCACGUGACUAUGGCCACUCCAGGGCAGACCGGAAAGCAGGGUGGCAACGGUGAUGUCAUGAUUUUCACUCACAGAGUCGUUUUUUGUACUUGUAAGGGGACAAAUGCAGAGACUUCCUAGAACCAAUCACGGUGUUAAAUUGUAAACACCCCCUCCCAAACCAAGUGUGUGCUGGCUCACGAAACAACAGAAUUUGGACCCAAGUCCAUUUAAGUGGCGUGUUUCUCCUGUUGUCACCAUUCAUCCACCCGUGUUCACGCGCAGUUCCGGCCCCCCACCCCCCGGGUCAGGCACUGGCAUCACAGGUGACGGAGGACGAGCACGGCCCCACCUUGGGGAGCUCCCGGCUCAGACAGACAGACACAGAAAUAAAUGAGCACAACGGAAGGGCCACCACGUGUGUACACACACACACACGCAUGCACACGCACACACACAUGUGCACGCACGCACAUGCACACACACACAGACCACAUCCUAGAGGAGCCUGAAGAACAGCUUCUUUCUAUGGGUCCACAGAUUUGCAGGAAAAUCCAGGUUGUUUGGGCAACACGGAAGAGGUGCGUGAACCUGAAUGUGGCGCGCCUGCAGAGGUCGCCCGGGGGCAGGUGCACGGCGGGGGGGGGGGGGGGGUGGCUGGGUGUGCUGGGUGUGGCCGGCCCCCCUGCAGACACAGAGAGCAUGUGUCCCAAGUCACCCGGACAGCAGCAGCUUGGGGAGGUUUCUUUCCCACGCCGUGGGGAGAAGGUGGCCCAACAGGUAAACGUGUCUAAAUCAACGGAUUUGGAGCCAGUGCUGUUCAGUGCCACAUAGUAGGGACUUCGCUCUUCUCGGUCCUCCCUCUAUUUCCACAUGACAGCCAUGUCCCUGAGCGUCCCUGAGCCUCCCCGAGGCUGGAGGCCAGGUCAUCAGGGCUUUGCAUCCCGCCCUGUUUGAAGGGACAAGGUUCCAGCCCACGAACCCCCCGGCCCCGGGCUGCUGUGCUGGGUGGGAGUCCUCGCCAGCCUUUGGACACAGCCAGCAGGACGAUGGGCCUGCGCCUGGCCCCCCUUGGGUGGGUGCCUGUGACAGGCGACAGGUCUGCACACCCAGACCUCCGAGG